GAUUUAAUUCCAUGUGGCUGUGGGACUAAGGUUUCCAUUUCCUUGCUGGCUGUUGGUUGAAGUUUCUCAUGGCUGCCCACAUUCCCUGGUUCCUGACCCCUCCAUUUCUAAGCCCUAAGUGGCAUAUCUGAUCCUUCUUCUGCUUCUAAUCUUGCUGAUUUCUUGUCUUCUUUUAAGGGUUUAUGUGAUUACAUUGGUCGUAACCAGGUAAUCCAGGAUCAUUUCCCUAUGCUCAUGCCAGCUGAUUAGUAAUCUGACUUACAUCUGGAAAGUCCCAUUUGGCAUGAUCCUGACUGCUACAGCAUGUAAAGUCCCUGGCAUGCCUGGCUCCCUCCACACAAUGCCUGCCAAUGUCUUCCUCAAACCUUGCUUGGCUACAGGGUGUUGUUCGCAGUCAAGGAGAAAAGUCCUGACCUUGAUAUCCGGAAUCUGGACCACAAUGUAGAACCUUUGAAAAAGUGGGAAAAUAACAGUCCCCAAAGUAGAAGAAUAACAUCCACAGCUUUCUUGGAAAUUCUGCACUGAAAGCGAACCUGUAAUAAGUAUGGUUUAUGUCCAUUGCUCUUAUAUGUUGUCCCCCUGUAUACUGCCAACUGCAGCACUGUCUUGUUCCUCAUCCUGUGUUUUAGAUGACUGCUGAGUCCUCUAACAUAUGUGUGAUGAUUAAUACUGUGUCAACUUAAUUGGAUUGAAAGACAAAGUAUUAAUCCUGGGUGUGUCUGUGAGGGUGUUGCCAAAGAAGAUUAACGUUUGAAUGAGUGGGCUGGGAAAGGCAGACCCACCCUUAAUCUGGAUCGGCACCAUUUAAUCAGAUGCCACCACACCUAGAACGUAAAGCAGGCAGAAAAUUGUGGAAAGAGACUGGCCUAGCCUCCCAGUCUACAUCUGUCUCCCAUGCUGGAUGCUUCCUGCCCUUAAACAUUGGACUUCAAGUUCUUCAGUUUUGAAACUCGGACUGGCUCGCCCUGCUCCUCGGCCUGCAGAUGGUCUAUUGUGGGACUUUGUGAUUCCGUGAGCUCUGCCCCUCUAGAGAACCCUGACUAACACAACAUGAGGAAGAGGAGCAGACCAAAAGAUAGAAAAACAAAGUUUGUUUUCUGUCACUGAUCCCGAAAAUAUACAUCUCUAAAGGAGUUUCUCCCAGUGACUGGUUACAUGAUUGGGUAAAAGUGGCCCAAGAACAAUCUGAAGUUGACUAAGUCCUUUAAAAAUGGUAUUUAAAAUUUCAGUAAGGUUUGAC
ensembl:lncRNA